rnacentral:lncRNA from 1 species
UUUUUUUUUUUAGAAUAGACCACUUUCGAGUUCAUCCGUCACCGGAAAAAAACUCGUCAAUUAUACGCGCCUUUAUGACGUCAUUUACCAGAUAGAGGGGGUCGCCUGUAUCCCUGCACUAUUUACGUUCAUCAAGCGUCUUGGUGAUCGUCAUUGUGCAGGAUAAAUUAGAAAUAAUGGUUGUUCUGUAGGUACUUAAUGACAAUUUCCUAAUGACAUCAAUGCUGAUUGUCAAUUUUGAUAAUUCAAUUUGUCGUAUAAUUCGUACAAUAUAGAAUUAUAGUUUUCCAACCACUCGCUCAACAUUGGAAUGGAAGUGACGGCGCCCCUAAACGCACAAAUGAUGUUCACUAAAACCAGAGUUUUUGACGGAAAUGCAUCGAAAUCGAAAGUUGUCUAUU